GGCGAGGCGGGUGGGUGUGCUAAACCUGCUGGAGGAGCGGCAGUAGGGCGGGACCUGACGGGAGGCGCAUAAGGGAGCCGGGACAGGGAUGGAGGCGUGGUCACAAGGCGGGAAACCGGCUGGAGAGGCGCUGGUGGCCAUAGGCCGCGUCGCUCAGCGCAGCAAAGGGUCACGCGUCCUGACCCUGCCAGUGGACUUGGCCAGUCCUGCCACGCGCCCGGUUCCUAACCAGGCCUGGGCCCAGCCUGCAGGCGGAGCUUCGGCGGCCACUCGCGGCUCUGAGCGCCAGACCAGACACGGGGGACAGCAGAGGUGCCCUUUCCAAGGCGAGGGUUAGGAGGCAGGAUUGACGAGGAUCUUUGGUGUUCCUAGUCUUCAACCACCCAAGGAGGUGCUCAGAAUCGGAGAAUGAAUUACGCACGGUUCAUCACGGCCACGAGCGCGGCCAGAAAGCCUUCUGCCAUCCGAGUCCUGACUGAGAUAUUGGGCAAGGCACCGAAAUCUGUCAUCUCUCUGGCAACUGGAGCACCGAACCCCAACACAUUCCCUUUCAAGACUGCAGUUAUUACCAUAGAAAACGGAGAGGCCAUCCUAUUUAGCGAAGAGAGGAUGAAGAGAGCACUGCAGUAUUCUCAGAGUGCUGGACUCCCAGAGCUGUUAUCCUGGCUAAAACAGUUACAAAUAAAACUGCAUAAUCCUCCCACCAUCCAUUAUCCACCCAGCCAAGGGCAAAUGGACAUAUGUGUCACAUGUGGCAGCCAAGAAGGUCUCUGUAAGGUGUUUGAAAUGAUCGUUAAUCCUGGAGAUAAUGUCCUCGUAAAUGAACCUAUUUAUUCAGGAACAAUUCAUGCUGUGCAACCUCUUGGUUGCAACAUAAUUAAUGUUUCCAGUGAUGAACAGGGGAUUAUUCCAGACUCCCUCAGAGAAAUACUUUCCAAAUGGAAACCAGAAGACUCAAAGAAUCCCAAGAAAAACACCCCCAAAUUUCUUUAUACUGUCCCAAAUGGCAACAACCCAACUGGCAACUCAUUAACAACUAACCGCAAAAAGGAAAUCUAUGAGCUCGCAAGAGAAUAUGACUUCCUCAUCAUAGAAGACGAUCCUUACUAUUUUAUGCAGUUCAACAAGCCUUGGGCACCAACUUUUCUCUCCAUGGAUGUCGAUGGGCGAGUCAUCCGAGCUGACUCUUUUUCCAAAGUCCUGUCCUCUGGGUUGAGAAUAGGGUUUAUUUCUGGCCCAAAGCCCUUGAUCGAGAGAAUUGUUUUACACAUACAAGUUUCAACAAUGCACCCCAGCACUUUUGCCCAGCUCCUGGUAUCACAGCUUCUCCACCAGUGGGGAGAAGACGGCUUCCUGGCUCACGUAGAGAGGGUUAUUGAUUUCUAUAGGAAGCAGAGGGAUGCAUUAUUGGCUGCUGCAGACAAGUGGUUAAGUGGUUUGGCAGAAUGGCAUGUUCCAAAUGCUGGAAUGUUUUUAUGGGUUAAAAUUAAGGGCAUUCAUGAUGUAAGAAACCUGAUUGAAGAAAAGGCCAUUAAGAAAGAGAUACAUACCCAUGAGUGGAUUGCUGGAUCAUAUGAUACUCAUGGUUCCAGGAUGUAGUUUCUACAUUGAUAGCUCAGCUCCUUGCCCCUACUUCAGAGCAUCCUUCUCUUCAGCUUCUCCAGAACAGAUGGAUGUGGCCUUCCAGAGAUUAGCCCAACUUAUAAAAGAAUCUCUAUGAAGAAAUCAAACUCUUCAUAGCACUCACAGUUUUCAGAUCAAUUAUUUCUAUGUUUCAGCAGGAAGAAGUGAUCAUUGGUAUUAGACUUAAAAUGUUAUAUCUAUAGUACUUUAGUUAGACAACUUUUAAAGUGCCCUUGAACGCAUGAAAUUGCCAAAAUAUAGUUAUAAUCCACCUAUACAUUUUGAUAAAUUUUCAACCCACAAAAAUU